rnacentral:lncRNA from 1 species
AGUUUUACAACAGCCUUUAUUUUUAAACGCUGUGUCUCCCAAGCGGAAGUUUUCAAGAAUUUUAUUGGAUUUUCUUCACGUACAAAGCCCUGUAUCUGUGGAGCUGCUGUGAGAGGAAGGGCUAAAUGGAGGGCCCUGAAAAUGCCCCACCACCAUUCUAGUGAGUGGUGUUUUUGUGGUAGGUGAUGACACUGAAUGGACAAUUACAGCAACUAUCACCUGAGAAGAGCAAAGCAAACCUAGAGAAAGAAGGUCUGGGUCACUACAGCAGUGUAUCUAUGGAAAAUCCAGAAGGUUUGACCUUCCAGAGUCAACAGUGUGGAUUUUGCUGACUCCCUACUUAUGGUCCUGAGUCACACAGAACACGCUGAAUCAGCCCGCUGCAGACCAGCAGGUCUGUGCACACUCUACCGAGUUCCUGAGUCCCGCAGAAGACGCCCAAGACAGGCAGGUCUGGCCACACCCUACCGAGGUCCCCAGUUGCACGGAACACAUGCCAAAUCAGCCCGCUGCAGACAGGCGGGUCUGUGCACGCCCUGCGGAGGUCCUGAGUCCUGAAGAAGACACCAAAUCACCCCGAUUCAGACAGGCAGCCACCUGAUUCCACACUACAAGAUGCAGAGGACACCAGACCACCAGACCAAGAAAGAAAUCUUGUCAUUUAUGGCAACAUGGACGAACUUGGGAGACAUUUAUGUUAAGUGAAAUAAAGCAGGCACGUGAAGCAAAUACUGCAUGAGCUCAUUUACACGUGGAAUCCAAAAGUGUUGAAUUCAUUGAAGCAAAGACUAGAAUGGCAGUUACUAGAGUCUGUGUGAUUUCCUGGGGAGUACAGCACCGAGGUAAUCACCACCGAGGAAAGCGAAAGCAAAAGACGGAGUCAUGGGUUUCAGCCAUAGUCUCGGUUUCACUGGAGCUGUGUCAAGCAGCGAGAUUGUGACCGUGGCCUGUGCCAGCAAGAGAGCCGGAAAGCAGAGGAAAACACUGAACUGCAUUGCUCUAAUAAAACUGUUUUGGAUAAG